AUCCUGUUGACGAAUCCCAAAUAGGACGAAACGCGCGUCCCGACCACUAU
rnacentral:hammerhead_ribozyme from 1 species